UCAUAUUGCUCUGCGGCAUUGCAGAACCUUGCAAGUUCAUUGAUUGCAACUGUGGGUUCAUUUGAUUUUCAUGAGAUUGCACUUGAGUCAUUUGAGAUUGUGACUGCUGCAUGGAGUGCAUAUGGGGUGGGGGGAGCUGCCCUUGCUGCAGAGAAGAAACUGGCUUCCUAGGUCUAUUUGUAUUAAUAAAAUUUACUAUCUGCUUUUCGUAUAAAAGCAACUUGUCCUUCAAACCAGGUGAAAUGCUACUUUUGGAAAUCUGCAAGACUGAUAUGAGGCGCUCUAACAUGGUCCUGAACAUUUUCAGUUUGUCAAGCUGCUCUGAUUUUGGUUGUUGUGGAAGAGAAUCAUGCUGGCAAACAGAGAGAACAAUAUAUAUGAUGAGUAAGCAAAAAAACAACCAAUAUUAGAAGUAACAAGAUUUUGUAGCAGAUAAUAUUAUUGGCUUUGUAACUAAAAAAGGUAAAAUAUUAUUCACAUUGUUGGUGGGGUAGCAGUCCCAUGUAGACAGUAUACAUGGCUGGAAUAAGUAAAAGGUAGAUCCAGUUGGAGAGAUCUAUCAUCGACCAUCACCACAAUAUCCUUGAAGAGAAAGGCUGCUCAAUGGUAAAUGUUGAGCAACAAAUAGUAUAGGGAAAAAAAAUGAAGUGAUUACAAACCUGCUGAAGUUUAGUAGCAAUUUUCUGAUACAUUUCACUUAGUUCAGGUAAGUACAUCUCCUUCAUGACUUUGAUCUGCAAAAAUGGAGUAAGAAAGGCAAAGAUAAUUAGAAAGGACUUUGUUGUAGCUACAUGCUUGCAGAUACCAUAAUAUCACCAGAUUUCUUUGUUUCGUGGUAGCUCAUGCAUCUAUAAGUUUUCCUGUCCAAUGCUUCAAAAUACAGUGCCAACGGAAAAGAGCUCAUGCAUGCAACAACGAAUUUGGAAAGUAUGACUUCAUGCAUGCUUGUACGUAAGGUAUGGACAGUUCAGAUAGAGCCUGAAUACGAUCCCUACCAAGACAGCCAAACUUACCCUUACUUCCUUUUUAAUAAUAUAGUAAUAUGGGAAUGUAAUCUUCUUUCUACUGAAAAUAAUAGAAAUUUUGAUUUUCUACCCAUACACAACAUAUAUGUAUUCCUACCGAUAUUUACUGUUAUCCCAGCAAACCCUGCCGUCAAUUCCCUUUUCAAUCCUAUAUAACAUGUGAAUGCAAUUUCCCUGAAAAGUGUAUUCCUAAGUUUUAUUACCUUCUAUGCCCUUUUUUCUAUACUAAACCAUGCAUUUUUAUAUAUUCCUAUAUGAUCACCAGUAUCUACCCUUGUUACAGCAGUUAAUUACAUUCCCCACAAAUCCUGUAUAUAAUCCCAACACAAAUAGCCAAACCCCAAAUUGCGCCUUCUCUUUCUUUCUAAUCUUAUAUCCAAUGCGAAUGCCAUUUAAUGGACAACAAGUCAGGGCAUCUUACUUUUUGAAAGACCUCCUCUUGCCAAUCACCCCCAGUUGCAUGUCCAGUCUGGGCAGUGGAAUCUAGAGAUGCUACAAAAUAUACAGAAAUAUAUGUCAGAUAUUUGCACAUAGACAGUUAUGAUUGAGAAAAAUCAUUGCCUGCAGAACAUUGAUAAAGAAAAAUGGAAAACUAUCCUGUCCAAAAUAGUUUAAAAUGUAUGUUUAUAAAAUAAAAUUAAAAAUAUCAUUUCAUUACAUGAGCUAAGGCAGAACAGGACUAUGCACGCACUAGAUUGUGGACAAUCCAUGGCAACUAUAUUUAAUAAACAAAGUAGCAAAAUAGUAAGGCUCCACACACACAUACACACCAAAAAAAAAAAAAAAAAAACUCUUCAUCUAUAAACCAAUUGAAGCAAAAUUCAUGAAUUAAAAACCAUAUUUUUAAAACCAAAGGGAUGAAAGACACUUCAGAUAAGAUUUUGCUCCUAGUUUCUGCUUAUGAGGAAAAGUUUCACAUCUACUUGUUGCCAAAGAAAUAGAAGCGUUUGGAAAAGAGCUUAACAAUAUGUAACAACAUUUUCUCUAACACCGUAAGUCAAGAAAAAACAAAGAUGCAAAACCUGAAGUGAAAGGAAACAAAAGCUUCAUCUUUCAUCAGUAAAGUCAAAGAUAUAAAAUCUUCAAGCAACUUUGAUUAUAAACAAGAAGCACCAGAGUUGAAAGGUAUACUUAUGGGACUCAAGGUGGUCUAUAUGCCUAUUUUAGGAGUAGACGCAAAACUAGUAACAAGGCUAUUUACAUACAAUCUAUUCUGCUAGUAGGCUUACUAUUUCGUUAUCCUUGUGGAUUAUUUCCUAUAUAUUUUUUUUGGAAUAGAAACUAUGUAAAUUCAAAGAGAUAAACAAAGAAACAAGCAAUUGGAUAAGGAAUCCACAAGAACAAAACAAAAGAAAACAGCAACCUCAAGACCAAAACAAAGGAAGGAAAAGAGGACAAAAGCAAACAAAAAGGCCACCCAGGAAAAAAGAAAAGAGCAACACAUCACUUCACAACUGCUACCAAAUGUCGCAUAAUAGAAGAGAGCCAAAUCCUUAAAAACAGGAGUAACCGAAUCCCAUAAAGCCUAUUUCCUAUCUAACCAGGUCAACUCUAUAAUUGAGCCCUAGUUCCGCCUAUUGAUAUUGAGAAUACAAGAAUAAAGCUGAAAUUUUUAUCUUGAUUUUGGUAUUUGACUUCGUUUAUCUUUCCUCCGGUGUGCUGCAUCCUAUAUUAGUUAACGCCCUCAAUUCCUUUCAUAUAAACUUAAACCACACUGAGCAUCUAAUUAGCAAACACAAUUCACAAAAUUUUAUGUCCACUAGAUAUUGCUAAUUAACCUUUAAAAAAAUGUAAACUUGACAUGGCUUGUUUUAGCUCUAUCUUUUAAUAUGACCGGACAUUUUGCAUAGGAAAAGACAUUAUAUGUGGUUUAACAAUAUAGAGCACACAACCAAGGAUAAACAUGUUUGACAGAUAAAGGAUGAUGCACCUAUUUAACAGGAUUGUAUACACUACUCUACUGUGUGUUUGUAUUGUGCUUCAGUGAUGGUCACAGCAAACAAUCAGCAAACUAUCUAAGUUUUGAAACUAUAAAAGUAUAAAGGUGGAGUGCACCUACUUGGCAUGAUAGACGGCACAAACGUUCUGUUGACUAAGUCCAAUUGUGCAUCCAUGUAUAUUUUAAUAAAAGAAGUCACAUACGAGAAGAUAACAUUCCAAAGUUCAAUUAUUUUCAUGGAAUCUAGACCCAUACAUCAAGCAGGCAUAACAAAAUAUAUUUCUCCAUAAGUCAUCCAAAAAAAGUGUAGCACCACAAAAGCAAACAUACAAAUAAGAAGCCUGUUUGCAUCACAAAACCAGCUAAAUCUCAUAAAAGUGACAGGGUUGACCCACAAUGGAACGGCCCAAAUGAAAAGUAAAAUUCUGUCCAAAACAUGCAUCUAUGAUAAUCUAAAUAACAUGAAAUCACAUGCAUAAGAAAAGCAACAAUUACAAGUGUUGGAAACUACAUAAUUGCAAAAAUCAUACUCGAUGAUGUCUCAGGAAGGGGUCUUUGAGAUUGAUAUAACUGCUUUUGCUGAUCCAUUACGUUUUGUGGUUGCAGCAUGGUUCCAGGAACCUGACCUGAGGCUUGAAGUCUUUGCUGCAUAUCUCGUUGCAGCGGAUUUGACUGCUGUUGCAAACCCAAUUGCUGCAUCUGUGGAGGCUGCGACUGAAUCUGUGACAACAAUUGUUGCUGUGAUGCCUGAGGUUGUGACUGCUGUCCUUGAGGGGGUAACAAGUUAGAUGAACUCUGAUGUUGUUGUUGUUGCUGUCCUUGAACCUUGGAUUGUUGCAACAAGUGUACAGAGUGCUGAUUAGUUUGCAUGCUUGAGUUACCACUUUGAGUUCCAAGGUGCUGCUGUUGCUGUAACCCAGUAACAUUACUCUGAGGGCCCAACUGUGGCUGAUGCAUAUUUGAAAGGUUGCUUUGCUGAGCCAUUAACUGCUGCUGCUGUUGUUGUUGCUGCUGCUGCUGCUGCUGCUGUUGUUGAAGGUUUAAAAUGUUAUUCUGCUGGCUCAGUAACCUCUGUUGUUGCUGUUGCUGCUGCAUAUCCCCAACAUUGUUUUGUUGUCCGAUUAGCUGAUUCUGCGACAAGCUCGUAGCAUUUGACUGUUGCACCAUAAGCUGCUGCUGUUGCUGCUGCUGUGGGGGUAAUAUUGGCUGUUGUGGCAUUGAUGUUUGCUGUUGGUGAACAACAGAGGCCUGUUGUUGUUGAGGCUGUCUGAGAACUGACUGUGGAUGCUGCUGAAGCAUAGAUGGUGUUGACUGUUGAAUUGCAGAUUGUUGAUUCUGCUGAAGACUAGAGAGAGAUGAUUGCACCACAGAAGGUUGAAUAACAGAUGAUGUUUGCAUAACAGGUUGCUGAGAAGACUGCAACUGAGUUGGUUGUAAUAGGUUCGGCUGCUGUUGCUGCUGUUGGACAAGUUGUGGGAUAUUUCCCUGCUGAUAUUUGGGCUUCAAAAGAGGAUGUUGCUGAUGUUGCAACUGUUGAUGGUACAUAUACUGCUGGGAAUUCUGGGAUUGCUGCUGCUGCUGCUGCUGCUGCUGCUGUUGUGGAACUACCUGUUGCCUUCCUGGCAAUUGCCUUUGAGAAGUAGCAAACAUAUUGGAGGGUACCCCCUGGCCCAUAUUCUGCAUGUUUUGAUUUUGCCCAACAAUACUUGGAAUAGGAGUCUGGGUUAAACCGGAUGAAGGAGGUAGAGCAGAUGAUAAGCCAGCAGAACUUUGAACUCCAGCAGCUGGAAUGUUAUUCUGAAUGUUCUGUGAUAAGAGUUGUUGACGUGCCUGAGAUUGAUUAGCUGGCAACGGCAUAGAGAGUGAUUGCCCUUGAUUGGGGACUUGGGGUUGCAUACCAAAAGACCCUACUCAUGUAAAAUAGAAAGAAUAAACACCAAAUAAACAUUUCCAAAUAGAUAAAAAAGUUAAAAAAGUGAAAAAAGUAAAAAAAACAAAUUAAGUAAAAAGAUAUAGCAACCAGAUUCCAGUCUUGAAAUUUCACCAUACAAGCCAACAGAUAUCAACAAUGAAUCUUCCCAGGUAAGAAAUGUGGGAAUAAGGAAACGAUAUGGUUUUUCAAGCAUUUAACUAUCAAGAAGAAAGCUACAUAUAAAAUAGAAUAACAACCCACCCUCCAUUUCAUAAAGCAUGUAUGCUGGGAGAAGAAAGUAGUAGUUCACAGAGUAACUGAAAGUUGUAUAGGUGCAUGAAAUGGGAGCACAGUUUCCAUAGUUGUUUUUACCUGGAUCAGGGGGUCUGUUGCUAUUACCAGCAGAGUUGGAUUGUAAAGAAUUGGCCAUUGUGUUCUGAGACUUGGUCUCCAUUGUUAGCAUCUUCAGACUAAUCUUCCGUAGGUAAUCUGACUGUAAAAAGAAACCCAUGCUAAACUUAGACUACAUUGCUAUCCAAAAUACAAAGAAAGCUGAAACACAGACCACGCUUAUUUAAGAAAUUACAUAUGUAUAGAUCAGUACAUAUCUAAGUAGAGUUACUUGUCAUAUACAAAGAAAAAUUUGGACCCAAGAGUUAUUGAAGUACCUGGCUUGUGGCAGCAGUAUAAAUCUUUUCCUCAAACCUUACGGCAAUUUUCUUGAGCUCCUGUAAUCCCUCAUGACCAGAGAAAGGGAGAUGCCUCUUCAAUGUAUCCAUUCUUCACAUGCCAUAUAUUUAAAAUAAGUUACUAACAACCAAGGCAUGGAGGUAGUGUUCAUAACAACGAAAGUGAAUUCAGGAUAAAUAAUUCAAUCCACUAAGCUUUUUUCUUACGAAAGAAACACAUACAUCUUGUUUACAAUUCUUUGCCUUGAAUCCGGCUGCAGUUGACUCCUCCAAUCUCCUGCAUCCAUGGGGGCCUCUCCAACUUGAGGAGGCCUCCAAUUAUUGGUAUCCAUCAAAUCCAAGGAACCGAACAAACUGUCAAACAAAAAAGAACAAAAUAUUGAGCAACCUCAAUGAAAACCCACGAAAAGGCACAAAAUUUGUACAAAACAUACUAAACUUAAACGAUGAUAAAGUUUCCAAAUAUGAAAUCUUUUUUGUGUCCAAAAUGGAUCCACUUAAGCUGAUUUUAAACAUGAUUUUGUCAUGAAAUUCUCCAAUAUACAAUCCCUGAAUUCACAUAUGCAAAAGCAAAGCUUACAAUUCACAUACAAUCGAAAACUCAAUACGAUUUUCGACAAUCAGAGGGAAAAAAAACCCAACAAUGAAUUCUACACCAAACCCCUAAUCUGUUUCUAUCAAAAAGAAGGAAAAAAAAAUCCAAUAAAAUUGAAAACAAAAAAAUUACCGUUUCUUUUUGGAGAUUGAAAAGUCUAGGCAGCUCGAAGCAGAAGAAUUUGGGAGAUGAAAGAAAAAUUGCCGAAGUCGGAAAUUAGGGGAAGAAGGGGGUUUUCAGGCACAAAGACUCAAGUGAAUAAAUAUUGAAUUGAUUGAUGCGUUGGAACGAAACAACUAAAUCCUAUUUUAAACGAAGCAUCAAUAUCUGACCCUCUUUUUUUUGGGGUCUUUUUUUCAAAUUUCUGAUUUUUUUAGUUUGGUUCGGAGUAAGCUCAUGGGGACAAAAAGACAAUAAGACCAGUAUCGUUGAAACUUUAUAAGUUGCCACUUGCCCCUUAUCUUUGCCCCUCAUCUGGGCAAUCACCCACCCCAACCGGAAACUUCCGUUUCAGUCCACGGAAACCCUUCACUACGUCACCCUUUUAUUUUUAUGAACAACUAGUUUAUCAACACGCACUUUAAUUGGCUUAAAUAUGACGCAUAUUUUAAACUAGCCUCUUGACACUCGCCCGCCCAUGCAUCAAUCUAAAUUGUGUAUUAUUAUUUUGCUUAAAUUUAUAAUAGUCCCUUGGCGCACACGUAUGAAUUUUUUUUUGUUUCUUAUUUUGUUUUUUAAUUUUAGAACUAGUUUUAGAACUUUUGUUUUAAUAUAUUCAAAAUGCUAGCUUCUCAAAAUGCAGGACAUCGUUUUCUUUUCUUUUCUUUGUUUAUUUAUUCUUGCAUUUAAUAUUUUUAAUUGUAUAACUUUAUUGCUUUAUCCUUUUAAAAUGAAAUAUUUAGUUAGGAUCUUUUUCUCUUAAUAUUUAGAAACUUAACACUAAUAAAAGGGUCGUCUUUUGCUUUACCUUAAAUAAUCACACUCCUUUUGUUAUAAAUUCAUGGUUUAUACGUGAUCCAUCUAACGUUUAUAAAGUUAUUUAGGGUGCCGGAAUUUUAGGGUGUGUAAAUAAAAUAGUCGUGGGUUUAUAUAUCACAUUUUGGGUGGGAGACAACUUUGCAUGACUAAGGUGGUGGGGGUUUGCUCAAUCCUUCUUGAUUUGUAAAAGCUUUGGGCUAAGUUCGGCCCAUGAGAAAAGAGAAACUUUGCAUGUGGAACAAGAAUAUACAACAUAAAAUAUAAGAUAUAGGAUAGCGUUCCGACUAGAGUAUUAACAUUAGAAACAGUUUGGAAAUUGUUUCUCGCUCUUCUUCGACAAACACUUGAGUUUCUGAAAUUUUUCAUCACAAAUAUGUGCAUUUUAUUUAAGACCAAGUUACGAAAUGUGUAUAUUCCACAUGUCAAGGGAAGACACGAGGCCGUUUCAGGUAGGAGGGGCGGCUGUGCUGUCCAUUGAUGCCUUGCAGAAACUGGCUUCGCAGGCAUUAAUAAAAUUUACUAUCUGCUUUUCGUAAAAAAACAACUUGCAAUUCAAACCAGGUGAAAUGCUACUUUUGGAAAUCUGUAAGACUGAUAUGAGGCGCUCUAACAUGGUCCUGAGCAUUUUCAGUUUGUCAAGCUGCUCUGAUUUUGG
rnacentral:lncRNA from 1 species